UAUUGGGCGUAAGAGCUCGUAGGCGGUUUGUCGCGUCUGCUGUGAAAUCCCGAGGCUCAACCUCGGGCUUGCAGUGGGUACGGGCAGACUAGAGUGCGGUAGGGGAGAUUGGAAUUCCUGGUGUAGCGGUGGAAUGCGCAGAUAUCAGGAGGAACACCGAUGGCGAAGGCAGAUCUCUGGGCCGUAACUGACGCUGAGGAGCGAAAGCGUGGGGAGCGAACAGGAUUAGAUACCCUGGUAGUCCACGCCGUAAACGUUGGGCGCUAGAUGUAGGGACCUUUCCACGGUUUCUGUGUCGUAGCUAACGCAUUAAGCGCCCCGCCUGGGGAGUACGGCCGCAAGGCUAAAACUCAAAGGAAUUGACGGGGGCCCGCACAAGCGGCGGAGCAUGCGGAUUAAUUCGAUGCAACGCGAAGAACCUUACCAAGGCUUGACAUACACCGGAAACGGCCAGAGAUGGUCGCCCCCUUGUGGUCGGUGUACAGGUGGUGCAUGGUUGUCGUCAGCUCGUGUCGUGAGAUGUUGGGUUAAGUCCCGCAACGAGCGCAACCCUCGUUCUAUGUUGCCAGCGCGUUAUGGCGGGGACUCAUAGGAGACUGCCGGGGUCAACUCGGAGGAAGGUGGGGAUGACGUCAAAUCAUCAUGCCCCUUAUGUCUUGGGCUUCACGCAUGCUACAAUGGCCGGUACAAAGGGCUGCGAUACCGUAAGGUGGAGCGAAUCCCAAAAAGCCGGUCUCAGUUCGGAUUGAGGUCUGCAACUCGACCUCAUGAAGUCGGAGUCGCUAGUAAUCGCAGAUCAGCAACGCUGCGGUGAAUACGUUCCCGGGCCUUGUACACACCGCCCGUCAAGUCAUGAAAGUCG
rnacentral:rRNA from 2 species